rnacentral:rRNA from 1 species
AUUGAACGCUGGCGGAAUGCUUUACACAUGCAAGUCGAACGGCAGCGCGGACUUCGGUCUGGUGGCGAGUGGCGAACGGGUGAGUAAUACAUCGGAACGUGCCCAGUCGUGGGGGAUAACGUAGCGAAAGCUACGCUAAUACCGCAUACGAUCUAAGGAUGAAAGCGGGGGAUCGCAAGACCUCGCGCGAUUGGAGCGGCCGAUGGCAGAUUAGGUAGUUGGUAGGGUAAAGGCCUACCAAGCCGACGAUCUGUAGCUGGUCUGAGAGGAUGAUCAGCCACACUGGGACGGAGACACGGCCCAGACUCCUACGGGAGGCAGCAGUGGGGAAUUUUGGACAAUGGGCGCAAGCCUGAUUCAGCCAUUCCGCGUGCAGGAUGAAGGCCUUCGGGUUGUAAACUGCUUUUGUACAGAACGAAAAGGCUCUGGUUAAUACCCGGGGCUCAUGACGGUACUGUAAGAAUAAGCACCGGCUAACUACGUGCCAGCCGCCGCCGUAA